rnacentral:rRNA from 1 species
GACGAACGCUGGCGGCGUGCUUAACACAUGCAAGUCGAACGGAGAAUUUAUUUCGGUAAAUUCUUAGUGGCGAACGGGUGAGUAACGCGUGGGCAACCUGCCCUUCAGAUGGGGACAACAUCCCGAAAGGGGUGCUAAUACCGAAUACGAUCACGCUGCCGCAUGGCGGAGUGAUGAAAGAUGGCCUCUAUAUAUAAGCUAUCGCUGAAGGAUGGGCCUGCGUCUGAUUAGCUAGUUGGUGGGGUAACGGCCUACCAAGGCGAUGAUCAGUAGCCGGUCUGAGAGGAUGAACGGCCACAGUGGGACUGAGACACGGCCCAAACUCCUACGGGAGGCAGCAGUGGGGAAGAUUCCGCAAUGGACGAAAGUCUGACGGAGCAACGCCGCGUGAGUGAUGAAGGUUUUCGGACUGUAAAACUCUGUUGUUUAGGACGAAAGUGCCUGUUGCAAAUAGUUGCAGGUAUUGACGGUACUGAACGAGGAAGCCACGGCUAACUACGUGCCAGCCGCCGCAGUAA